rnacentral:misc_RNA from 1 species
CUUCACUUCACUGAAACACAAUUUGCUCCGAGUUUCUUAUCCUUAACCAUGAAAAGUCACGAAUCGCCGACAAUUUCCACUCUUCUUGUGCUUGCCCUCUUCAUCUUUCUAUCUAAAACUGAAAUUGAAGCAAGAUUUCUCCAAGAAAUUUGUUCUUCUUCAUGUGGUGAACUCAACAAGAUCACUUACCCAUUUCGCCUAACCACCGAUCCAGUCGAGUGUGGUGAUCCUGACUAUCAACUUUCUUGCCAGGACAACAAACCCAUUUUGGAAUUUCAUUCAGGGCAGUAUUUUGUCAAGCAAAUUUCCUAUGAUAGACAUUUGAUCCGCCUGGUUGAUGUUAACUUAGCCAGUGGGAGCUGCAACCUUCCGCACAGUUCAGUGUCAGUUGAUGAGGUAAAGUAUGAUAAUCGCUAUGGGGGAUUGGUAUCUAGUACGUUUGCCAGUUUCUUCAGAUGUUCGAGUGAGAUCAAUGAUCAAGCUUAUAGGAAAGUUCCUUGUUUGAGUGGAAAUGACUCUCAUGUUUAUGUUAGCUAUGGCACCUAUGUAAUAUCUGAUCUUCAAGGUUCCUGUUCCUUCAUUUCGAGGGUUCCCACAAUUUACCAGGCUGUGUGGUACCCUUCUUAUGAAAGUAUCUUGAAAUUGAUGGCGUCAGGGUUUGAUCUUGAAUGGUCUGUUGAGUGCCGGGAUUGCAUUGCAGAUGGUGGUUCCUGCACUUUGAGCUCAUUGGGUACACCAAAUAUCUAUGAAUGCCAUUUUUCAGGCAUAUAUGUACCCACUCUGGUUUCAACCAUCUUUUAUGCUAUUUUGGACGUUUUGUUAGGUAAUUAUCCCAAAUUGAAAAUUUUGCUCUCGCUGCUGAUGUGAUCUAUUUGAAUUAAAAUUAACAAAAGUCCUUCUUUUGCUCUGUCAGCAAUAAAUCUGAUUGCGAGAUUCAUCCUUGCUCCAAUAGUUAUAGUUGGAUUCCUAAUCUACAAACAUAGAACAACAAAGAAGACUGAAGAUAACAAGGAGGAAUUUCUACCCAAUCAACAAUCCUUGAUGCCCAGAAGGUACUCUUACUCUAAUAUUAUUGCAAUUACAGACAAUUUUAAAGAUAAAUUAGGCCGAGGUGGCUUUGGGACAGUUUACAAAGGACAACUUCCUGAUGGUCUUUUAGUCGCCGUCAAAAUGCUUGGCAACUCCAAGUGUAGUGAUGUGGACUUCAUCAAUGAAAUCUUCUCAAUUGGUAAAAUUCAUCAUGUUAAUGUAAUAAGGUUAGUGGGAUUUUGUUGUGAGGGAUCUUAUCGUGCUCUUCUCUUUGAGUACAUGGUUAAUAGGUCUCUUGACAAGUACAUAUUUUCAAGAGAAACAGAACUUCAGCCAUUGAGUUGGGAGAGACUUCUACAAAUUGCUAUAGGGACAGCUCAAGGAAUUGACCAUCUACAUGUGGGAUGUGAUGUGUGCAUUCUUCAUUUUGAUAUCAAACCACAUAAUGUCCUGCUUGACCAUAAUUUCACACCUAAAGUUUCAGAUUUUGGUCUUGCAAAAUUUUACCCCGCAGAAUAUGAUUUUGUGUCUGCUAGUGCUACAAGAGGAACUAUGGGGUAUAUUGCUCCUGAGUUGAUGUCAAACAACCUUGGAGCUGUUUCUUGCAAAUCAGAUGUUUAUAGUUUUGG